AUGGAGCGGGGCGGCACCGCCGCGCUCGCCUGCACCUUCCGCUCCUCCUCUCCGGCUUCCCACUGUUCGCCUCUCCUCCGCCCCCGUAGACGCUCGCCCGCGGCCGCCGGGGCUCCUCGCUUCCUCUCGCCGACCGGCCGGCGCUUCAGCUACUGCAGUCAAAAUAGGUUUGUAGACACAAGCAAGGGGCUUAAGCGGUACUCAUUGACGACAUUCAGCCCAUUUGGGCGCCUAGCGGUUAGUCUGAACGAUGCAGAUUUAGUAAAAGAUAAGAUGCUAAUUGAUUGUGGAGAAGAGCAAGACUGUGUGCUUGAUGGGAUAGUCGCCUUGGGAAAAUUUGAUGCCCUUCACAUUGGCCACCGGGAACUAGCCAUGCAUGCUUCUAAAUCAGGAAAUCCUUUUCUUCUUUCUUUUGUUGGAAUGGCUGAAGUUCUUGGCUGGGAGUAUAGGCCUCCCAUAGUUGCUCAUUGUGAUCGGAAGCGAGUCCUUUCGUCUUGGGCUCCAUAUUGUCGAAAUGUGGUGCCUCUUGAAUAUCAAGUUGAGUUUUCAAAGGUCAGGUACCUAACUCCGCGCCAGUUUGUUGAGAGGUUAUCAACGGAUCUUAGAAUAAAAGGUGUUGUAGCAGGUGAAAACUACAGAUUCGGGUACAAAGCAUCUGGCGAUGCAGCUGAGUUAGUGAAACUGUGUGAGGAAUUCGGUUUAAGUGCAUUUAUUGUACGGUCUGUCAUGGACACCGCAAAGGGAUCUUAUAAUGGAGCAAUACCCACCGUGAAUUCAAGCGAUAAAGGACAGGUGUCUUCUAGUCGUGUUCGCCAAGCUUUGUCGGUCGGUGACAUUGAAUAUGUCUCCAAAUUACUUGGGAGGAAACACCGCCUUGUGCUAACAGUGAGUGAGUACUCCAUUAAGGAACGGAAAAACAUUAUAGUCCCGAAAUCUUGCAUGGUUAACAUGCCACCAGCCGACGGGUUCUACGAGAAUUGUGAGCUCUUCAAUGGAGGGUAUCUUGGACUAUGCAGGGUGGCCAUUAACACAGAGACCAUUGAUAUCGAGAUGAAAGAUGAGAGCAGUUUGUCACCAGACACUUUUCAAGAGGUUAAACAAGUAGGUAUUGAGUUCGGGUGA
rnacentral:rRNA from 1 species